GGGUUGGUAUAGCUGCCUGCCACUGAGAGAUUUAGGUGGCCGCAUUAUGUUGACUGUGCGGAGGCACCAUACAUCAUUCUUUUUUUUGUUAAGAGGUUGUGUGAGGGGGUGCGACGAAAUAAAAUCUGUCUCUAUUUAAUUUGAUAUAGAAUUUAAUUUUGUAAGUGCUAAAGCUCUAUCUUUGUGGACGAGACGACCCGACCCUACUAGAUCUUUAUGAUUUAUUUAGAAUAAUUAAGUGGGAGGAAUUUAAAUUUUAUUAAUAUAGUUAUGUUAUUGGGGUAAUAGAAAGAUCAAGACAAUUCUUUUUUUUUAUUUACAUUUAUUUAUGAGCCUAAUGAGCCAUUUUUAAUGAUUAUAAGAUUAGGUUACCUUCGGGAUAACUUCGUAAUUUUUUUACAGAGAUCAUAUCGGUAAACAAGUUUGCGACCUCGAUGUUGGAUUAAAAAUUAAUUUUGGUGUAGAAGCUUAGAAUUUUGGUCUGUUCGACCAUUGAAUUUUUACCUGACCGGAGUUCAGACCGGA
rnacentral:rRNA from 1 species